AGGAAAGUGAACCCUUAAUGAAGAAGGGGAAAAAAGUAGUUGAGAAGGUCAAAAAUUUUCUUAAGUUAUUUGUUCUUUUUCUUCCAUAUAAUGUUCUUUUACUCCCUGACUAAUGUUCUUUAUAUUUUUUCUUUUUUCCAGAGAGCAACAAGAAGUAAACAAAUUGUUGUUUCUGAUGAGGUCAUGGAGGUGGUGGAUGAUGAGAAACCAAAAUCUUUGGUUGUUGCCAAACCAAAACCUGAAGAAAGGAAACUAAAUCUAAGGCAAACUCCGCAAUUGAUGAUGCGAUUCUUGAGGGGAAUUGCAUCUAAUGAACCACAUGAUAUAAGAAAACAACAAGCCAUCGUGGAGUUAGGCUUUGGAUCUCUUCUGCAACUUGACAUCCCACAAAACGAAAAUCCAUUCCCGUACGAGUUGGUUAGGAAUUUCAACUCGUCCGACCGAUCCUUGCAUCUACCAAAGUCUUCCCUUGAUAUUACUGUAGAGGAUGUAUACCUGGUGUACGGUAUACCUAUUGGAGGAGCUCCGGUCGUGGAAUGGACUGAUGAACAAGAUCCUGAAGUGUUGAGGGUUUUUGCUGAAUUUUGGGCAUACUGGAAAGUGAAGUCUGGAUGCCCAAAAUUGAAAGAAAUGGUUGAAAAACUGAUCAAAGAUGAGACUCCAGUUGAUGAUAACUGGAAGAGAUCUUUCCUAGUGGUUGCAGUUAACACCUGCAUUAAAUCCACUACUAAUUUAUCGCCAAACUUCAGAUUCCUAGCAAGCACUGUUGACUUGGAGCAAGUGAGGAAUCUAAAUUGGUGCCAGUAUUCAUACACCAGCCUUCUUGGGGCAGCUAUGUACUGGAAUGUGGACCGUAGCAGAUGGUUUGCUGGUCCACUACCAUUUCUAAUGGUAUGUUAUUUCGAUCGGGUGCAGAUCAUGGAAGAGUACCCUCCAAGGAACUUCCCCCUAAUUUCUUGCUGGACAAGAGAUAUGAUAAGCAGCAGGGUACGCAAUGACAAUGCUACAGGCUUCGGACAUGGCUUGAUUCUGGACAGAAUUCAAGGUCCACCUGAGCUACAACUGUACAGGGAGGAGAUGGAGGUGCUCAAACAGCAAAAAGCACUCAGCGAACAACCACCACCACUUCUUCUUCAACACCCACAACAACAACAGUAGCAACAUGAUGAACAACCAUCGCAGCAACCACUGCAGCAACCACAACAGCAACAUCAACACCAAGAGCCUAACUGGUCCACAAAUGAUGUGCCCAGAGAACAUCAAGGUGCACCAGUGACUCAACUCGGGGAUGACAAAGAUUUGCCAGAGCAACAGGCAGACCCCAGUGAGAAAGCAAAAGUCCCUUCUACAAUUGAGGAAUUCCAUGCUGAAUUCACUAAAACCACUACUGAACUCAGUAGUGUCAUGAACAAGUUCAACGACUUAUUGUCGUUGUCUAGAAAGUUCUUUGACACUACUAUUGAUGUCAAAAAAAGUCUGCCAUUCAAUAUGGCAAAAAUGUGGUCAACAUGCUCUGGAACUGAAAUUCCAGUUACUUUUGAGAAGGGCAACUCUACAGAAGAGCGGCAAGAAGGAAGGAAUACUGAGGAGAUUGGUUCAAUCCUCAGUCAAGAUAAAGAAUUUUUCAGUUCAGACUACUUCACAAUACUAUUUGAGGAAGCAGUACGAAAGGCAACAGAAGGAAAUGAAAGAAAGGAAAUCGAGGAAUCUGAGGAUGUUCCAUUUGAUUUGCCACCAUUUUUAACACCUCCGAUCAUGCCUUCCCAGCCUAAUGUAUUUGCUGAUUUGACAUUGAAGCUUGGAAUGGUUUCCGAUUCAAAUCCUCCUCCUCAGGCACACGACUUUGAAGAGGAAAUGAGAUUAGAAGCAAUCUUGGCAAACAAAACUUUGACUGAACGUGAUUUGGAGACAAUUUCAGGGGACAACAAAGAUGAAGCUGAAAAACAACAGCCACCUACAGAAAAAACUGAGUAUGCGUUCUUUUAAAACAGUUCACAUACACAUGUAUAAUAAAUAUGUGACUGUUUCUUUCAUUAUUCACAAUGUUCUUUUAUAAACAAUUAUUUGUUUUUUUAUUCGUUUGAUUUGUUCUUUUUAUUAAUUCUCUGUCUUUAUACAAUUAUUUAAUGGAUCUUUUGUUUCUUUUAUUCGGAAUGUUCCUUUCAUAUAUUUCUUUAUGUUCUUUCUAUAUUUACUUUAAUAUCUUCCUACUUUUAAUAUUAACUUAUAUGUUCUUUUUCAUUGCACU